CUACAAUGAAGAGAUUUUGAACUCUCUCUUUCUGAUGCUUUAAUGGAGAAACGAAAGCAGUCUGAGUAGC